GGACUACCAGGGUUUCUAAUCCUGUUUGCUACCCACGCUUUCGCGUCUCAGCGUCAGUAUCCAUCCAGAUGGCCGCCUUCGCCACCGGUGUUCCUCCCGAUAUCUACGAAUUUCACCUCUACUUCGGGAAUUCCGCCAUCCUCUCCGGUACUCAAGCCAAGCAGUUUCGGGUGCCCUUCCUCGGUUGAGCCGAGGGCUUUCACGCCCGACUUGCAAGGCCGCCUACACGCGCUUUACGCCCAAUAAUUCCGAACAACGCUUGCACCCUCUGUAUUACCGCGGCUGCUGGCAC
rnacentral:rRNA from 1 species